rnacentral:rRNA from 1 species
GACGAACGCUGGCGGCGUGCUUAACACAUGCAAGUCGAACGGAAAGGCCCUGCUUUUGUGGGGUGCUCGAGUGGCGAACGGGUGAGUAACACGUGAGUAACCUGCCCUUGACUUUGGGAUAACUUCAGGAAACUGGGGCUAAUACCGGAUAGGAGCUCCUGCUGCAUGGUGGGGGUUGGAAAGUUUCGGCGGUUGGGGAUGGACUCGCGGCUUAUCAGCUUGUUGGUGGGGUAGUGGCUUACCAAGGCUUUGACGGGUAGCCGGCCUGAGAGGGUGACCGGCCACAUUGGGACUGAGAUACGGCCCAGCCUCCUACGGGAGGCAGCGGUGGGGAAUAUGGCACAAUGGGAGGAAGCCUGAUGCAGCAACGCCGCGUGCGGGAUGACGGCCUUCGGGUUGUAAACCGCUUUCGCCUGAGACGAAGCGUGAGUGACGGUAAUGGGUAAAGAAGCACCGGCUAACUACGUG